rnacentral:rRNA from 1 species
GACAGAGGGUGCAAACGUUGUUCGGAAUUACUGGGCGUAAAGCGUGUGUAGGCGGCCAUAUAAGUCGGAUGUGAAAGCCCUGGGCUCAACCCAGGAAGUGCACUCGAUACUGUAUGGCUUGAGUACUGGAGAGGUUGGUGGAAUUCUCGGUGUAGAGGUGAAAUUCGUAGAUAUCGAGAGGAACACCGGUGGCGAAGGCGGCCAACUGGACAGAUACUGACGCUGAGACACGAAAGCGUGGGAAGCAAACAGG